CGACUAAGCGUACACGGUGGAUGCCCUGGCAGUCAGAGGCGAUGAAGGACGUGCUAAUCUGCGAUAAGCGUCGGUAAGGUGAUAUGAACCGUUAUAACCGGCGAUUUCCGAAUGGGGAAACCCAGUGCAAUUCGUUGCACUAUCGUUAAGUGAAUACAUAGCUUAACGAAGCGAACCGGGGGAACUGAAACAUCUAAGUACCCCGAGGAAAAGAAAUCAACCGAGAUUCCCCCAGUAGCGGCGAGCGAACGGGGAGGAGCCCAG
rnacentral:rRNA from 1 species